GGAGGAGAGGUGGCAAUGUUACCCCUCGCCGGUCACUUUACACAGGGUCGAAAUCUAUUGUUCACGUAGGGGGGGAAAGUUAUUUGUCACAAGCGCCGAAUUCGACCGGUGUAGUAGACCUCACAGUGAAAUGCUGAAUACAACAGGUGUAGUAGACCUUACCGUGAAAUGCUGAAUACAACAGGUGUAGUAGACCUUACAGUGAAAUGCUGAAUACAACAGGUGUAGUAGACCUUACAGUGAAAUGCUGAAUACAACAGGUGUAGUAGACCUUACAGUGAAAUGCUGAAUACAACAGGUGUAGUAGACCUUACAGUGAAAUGCUGAAUACAACAGGUGUAGUAGACCUUACAGUGAAAUGCUGAAUACAACAGGUGUAGUAGACCUUACAGUGAAAUGCUGAAUACAACAGGUGUAGUAGACCUUACAGUGAAAUGCUGAAUACAACAGGUGUAGUAGACCUUACAGUGAAAUGCUGAAUACAACAGGUGUAGUAGACCUAACAGUGAAAUGCUGAAUACAACAGGUGUAGUAGACCUUACAGUGAAAUGCUGAAUACAACAGGUGUAGUAGACCUUACCGUGAAAUGCUGAAUACAACAGGUGUAGUAGACCUUACAGUGAAAUGCUGAAUACAACAGGUGUAGUAGACCUUACAGUGAAAUGCUGAAUACAACAGGUGUAGUAGACCUUACAGUGAAAUGCUGAAUACAACAGGUGUAGUAGACCUUACCGUGAAAUGCUGAAUUACAACAGGUGUAGUAGACCUAACAGUGAAAUGCUGAAUACAACAGGUGUAGUAGACCUUACCGUGAAAUGCUGAAUACAACAGGUGUAGUAGACCUUACAGUGAAAUGCUGAAUACAACAGGUGUAGUAGACCUAACAGUGAAAUGCUGAAUACAACAGGUGUAGUAGACCUAACAGUGAAAUGCUGAAUACAACAGGUGUAGUAGACC